rnacentral:rRNA from 1 species
UACGUAGGGCGCAAGCGUUGUCCGGAAUUAUUGGGCGUAAAGAGCUCGUAGGCGGCUUGUCGCGUCGGAUGUGAAAGCCCGGGGCUUAACCCCGGGUCUGCAUUCGAUACGGGCAGGCUAGAGUUCGGUAGGGGAGAGCGGAAUUCCUGGUGUAGCGGUGAAAUGCGCAGAUAUCAGGAGGAACACCGAUGGCGAAGGCAGCUCGCUGGGACGGUACUGACGCUGAGGCGCGAAAGCGUGGGGAGCAAACAGG